GACGAACGCUGGCGGCGCGCCUAACACAUGCAAGUCGAACGAGCGAGAGAGAGCUUGCUUUCUCGAGCGAGUGGCGAACGGGUGAGUAACGCGUGAGGAACCUGCCUCAAAGAGGGGGACAACAGUUGGAAACGACUGCUAAUACCGCAUAAGCCCACGACCCGGCAUCGGGUUGAGGGAAAAGGAGCAAUCCGCUUUGAGAUGGCCUCGCGUCCGAUUAGCUAGUUGGUGAGGUAACGGCCCACCAAGGCAACGAUCGGUAGCCGGACUGAGAGGUUGAACGGCCACAUUGGGACUGAGACACGGCCCAGACUCCUACGGGAGGCAGCAGUGGGGAAUAUUGCACAAUGGGGGAAACCCUGAUGCAGCGACGCCGCGUGGAGGAAGAAGGUCUUCGGAUUGUAAACUCCUGUUGUUGGGGGAAGAUAAUGACGGUACCCAACAAGGAAGUGACGGCUAACUACGUG
rnacentral:rRNA from 1 species